rnacentral:rRNA from 1 species
ACACGACUACACUAGAUACCCGUGUAGUCCUAGCCGUAAACGAUACUCGCUAGGUGUCGGCCACGGUGCGACCGUUGUCGGUGCCGUAGGGAAGCCGUGAAGCGAGCCACCUGGGAAGUACGGCCGCAAGGCUGAAACUUAAAGGAAUUGGCGGGGGAGCACAACAACGGGUGGAGCUUGCGGUUUAAUUGGAUUCAACGCCGGAAAUCUUACCGGGACCGACAGCAACAUGAAGGCCAAGCUGAAGACUUUGCCGGAUUAGCUG